CCUACAUGAAGCUGGAGUUACUAGUAAUCGCAGAUCAGAAUGCUGCGGUGAAUGCGUUCCCGGGUCUUGUACACACCGCCCGUCACACCACGGGAGUUGGAGACGCCCGAAGCCGAUUAUCUAACCUUUUGGAAGAAGUCGUCGAAGGUGGAAUCAAUAACUGGGGUGAAGUCGUAACAAGGUAGCCGUAUCGGAAGGUGCGGCUGGAUCACCUCCUUUCUAAGGA
rnacentral:rRNA from 1 species